CAGUAGCCACGGUAAUACGGAGGAUCCAAGCGUUAUCCGGAAUCAUUGGGUUUAAAGGGUCCGUAGGCGGUCUUGUAAGUCAGUGGUGAAAGCCCAUCGCUCAACGGUGGAACGGCCAUUGAUACUGCAGGACUUGAAUUAUUGGGAAGUAACUAGAAUAUGUAGUGUAGCGGUGAAAUGCUUAGAGAUUACAUGGAAUACCAAUUGCGAAGGCAGGUUACUACCAAUUGAUUGACGCUGAUGGACGAAAGCGUGGGUAGCGAACAGGAUUAGAGACCCCGGUAGUCCCUGUCUCUUAUAC
rnacentral:rRNA from 1 species